CAUUAGAUGGCUGAAAAUAAGCUUUGGAAUUUUAAACCAUUAAAUGAUAAAUUAAUGUAUAUCUCUAAUGA
rnacentral:tRNA from 1 species